CUCCAGUACUGCAUCCAUUCCAACCCUUCCUGGCCUCAGACAGCUUUUCUGGCAUUUCAACACUAUAUUGUGAUGCUUGGAACUAUAGUUUUAAUUGCCAGCAAUCUUGUGCCGCGAAUGGGUGGGGACCAUGGUGAUAAAGCCCGUGUGAUUCAAACAUUACUCUUCAUGGCGGGGGUGAAUACACUGAUUCAAACAUUCAUUGGA
rnacentral:misc_RNA from 1 species